ensembl:misc_RNA Metazoa_SRP Metazoan signal recognition particle RNA
GCUAGGCAUGGUGGCAUGCACCUGUAGUCCCAGCCACUCUGGAGGCUGAGGCAGGAGGAUCGCCUGAGCCCAGGAGUUCUGGGUUGUAGUGUGCUAUACCAAUCAGGUGUCCACACUAAGUUUAGCAUCAAUAAGGUGUACCCCCAGGGAGCUGGGGACCACCAGGUUGCCUAAGAAUGGGUGAACUGGUCCAGGUCAAAAAUGGAGCAGGUGAAAGUUCCCAUGCAGAUCAGUAGUGGGAUCAUGCCUGUGUACAGCCCCUGCACUCCAGCCUGGGCAACAGAGUAAGACCCCGUCUCAA